rnacentral:rRNA from 1 species
UACGGGGGGGGCAAGCGUUUGUUCGGAAUUACUGGGCGUAAAGGCGCGUAGGCGGCCUACUAAGUCGGACGUGAAAUCCCCAGGCUUAACUUGGGAACUGCGUCUGAUACUGGAAGGCUUGAGUGCGGGAGAGGGAUGCAGAAUUCCAGGUGUAGCGGUGAAAUGCGUAGAUAUCUGGAGGAAUACCGGUGGCGAAGGCGGCAUCCUGGACCGGCAUUGACGCUGAGGAGCGAAAGCUAGGGGAGCAAACGGGG